rnacentral:rRNA from 1 species
GACGAACGCUGGCGGCGUGCUUAACACAUGCAAGUCGAACGGAAAGGCCCUGCUUUUGUGGGGUGCUCGAGUGGCGAACGGGUGAGUAACACGUGAGUAACCUGCCCUUGACUUUGGGAUAACUUCAGGAAACUGGGGCUAAUACCGGAUAGGAGCUCCUGCUGCAUGGUGGGGGUUGGAAAGUUUCGGCGGUUGGGGAUGGACUCGCGGCUUAUCAGCUUGUUGGUGGGGUAGUGGCUUACCAAGGCUUUGACGGGUAGACGGCCUGAGAGGGUGACCGGCGACAUUGGGACUGAGGUACGGCCCAGACUGCUACGGGAGGCAGCAGUGGGGAAUAUUGCACAAUGGGCGGAAGCCUGAUGCAGCAACGCCGCGUGCGGGAUGACGGCCUUCGAGUUGUAAACCGCUUUCGCCUGUGACGAAGCGUGAGUGACGGUAAUGGGUAAAGAAGCACCGGCUAACUACGUG